rnacentral:lncRNA from 1 species
GAUAUAGAUUAUAUAAUUCAAAUGUGAAUGACAUGCCUCGAACUAUUCAACUAAAUGAACUACGGAUACUCAUAUUAGAAACCGUAAUCACGUCAUGAGGAUGUGCACCCAAUUAACAACUCUUAAGAAAACUAGAAAGCGACUCAAUAUCCUUACAAAUUUAACAAAUCAAUUUCAAACGAAAUAAACAAAUGAGAGUAUAGCAGACUAGUGGACGAAGUCAUAACAGACACAAAGUGCCAAAACAGCCACAAAGUCACAACUCUUCAACGUCGACCCUUCAUCUUAAAGUCAUUGUCACUUUCUUUUGUAUAAAAAUGAAAUAUAUCACGAGAAUGAACCAAGUCCAGCGGAUUAUACUUUCCUUGUUUUGAAAUUUGUACUUCUAAGAAAACAAACUUUCAUGUUUUGAAUUUGCAAGAUAGCAUCACCCCUUUUUACUAAAAAGGAGUGUAAUAGAACAACAACAUCAACAACAACAACUACCCAGUACAUUCCCACCAGGUGGGGUCUGGGGAGAGUAAUAUGUAGACGAGCCUUACCCCUACCCGGAAGGGCAGGGAGGCUGUUUCCAAUCGACCCUCGCUCAUAUGGUUAGGUGAAAAACUGCAGUAAAACAAAACAGAGACAAAAACAAAGCAGAAGCUUCAACUUGUGAGAAUUGAGCUAACAUUCAUCUGACCUUACAAAAAAUCUGAAAAGUAUUGACGACGCACAGAAGGUUUAAGCCAUACAAGAAUCAAGUAAAAUGACAAAGCUCAUCAAGCAAGGCCCAGAAUCAGUAAACAACAAAGCAAAAAUAUGAAUCAAAACCAUCGGAAGGAACUGUUUAGGUAUUCUAGGUCUCGAUUCGUGUCAAACCCCUAGGGUCAUUCUUAAUUUGAAUUCAGAAUUCCUGGACAUAAGGACAACCUGAAUUGGUGAGCCAAGACAAUUGAAAGGGCACUCAAGCACAGGAAAAAAAUAUUAAAUAAGGCAGUUGGACUAUGGCAAUUUCAGCAGAAAUCAAUGAAACUUUAUACCUAAAAUACAAUGCUUAUCAGAAAUGACAAAGGCAUGCAACUCGAUUGGCAAAUGCAAGUUGAUCUUAAAGAAAGCAAAUCCGAAAUAUUACACAAGCUUCAUAUGAUGUGCUGUUAAAGAAGUUCAAUGACAAAAUUCUCAUGCGAAAAAAAUAUGAACACUCACUGUUCCUUCAACAUGGUGAGCCUCAAAGAUAAACUAUUAUCUAAGGGGAACUUCAACAGCUUUAAACUAGUAGAAAUGUGCAACAAUGACCAUAAAUUCAGAGAAAGGGGAAACACUUUAGUGAUCCAUGUCGAACUUGUCGAGACAAAAUAGUAGAUACAUUUAGAGUCGUGCAAGUAGGCUGCCUGGACAGUGCAAACAGGUCGGCUGACUCAAUUCAUCAAGGUUCAGAAUGACUACUUAUAUUCGAGUCCCUGACAACUGCUAUCAAUUAGCCUAUGCUCGAUGACAGUCCCAAAAUUUUGGUGAAAAAGUAAGCUCAUACUUUCAACCUUCAGAACGUGCAAAUAUGGUCGAGGGAUUAGGGAAGACGAAACCAUUCAACGAUUCAUGUCGAACAUAUUGAACUGAGACAGAAGAUACAAGCAGAUUGACUUAAAUAUUAAAGAACAUCAUAUGCAAGAAAAGAAGCAGAGAAGAUCAUUUUAUGAAGCGAUAUCCCUUAACAACACGACCAAAAUUCUGUCCAAUAACACUUUGAAACAAAUAAGAAAAAAAAACCAACUGUUCAAGUAAAGAGGGUGAUUCUAAUUCAAAGCUUCUAGAAAAUAAGAAAGAUUUCUCAGGAAUAAAUCAUUCAAAGUCCAGGAAGCAAACAUCCUGAGAAUAAACGUCAUAGUCUCAUGCUCGCUUAGCAAUCAUGGAAGUCGAACACAUCGUUCAUUUGAAAGCGACGAAACCUUGACUCAAAUGAAACUCGACAUCACAAUAACAGUUAAAUCAUAGAAAACUACCACUCAAAAUCAACUUCUACUAACUGAAAAUAUUCCCAAAUACAUCACACUACUAAGAAGCAGUUCAACAACAAAAGAAUCAUGCACAGAACCAAACAUCAUUCUGGACAAAAUCUCACUGCUCAAAAUACUUUAUAACAGAGAUGCGAAAGAUAAAGAAAUUGAACCUGAAAUUUCAAAAUAUUUUUAAUAAAUAUAUUCUCGACAAUACACCUUUUGAUUCCGAAUCCUAUAAUGAUCAGCAGAACAACAGUAGAAACAUAGCUGGAACUUCAAUUUGUAUCUUCCAGGAACUCAAAUCCAGAUUCAAAAAUAAGAAGAAAAAAUUGUAUCUAUGUUUUUUCUUAAACUUUAAUGACCUCGUCAAAGAAAAUCAACUCGGAAGAGCCAUUUGUUCACAGAAAACCUUUCAACCUUUUUUCUGAAUUUAUUUUAGCCGACCCCCCUUCAAAAUUGGAUAGAGCUUCUUUUGAAAAUGAAUUCCUGAUGAAUGUGGGGCUUAGAUUAAGUGAAAUCAAUCUAACGCCUCACACUCAUCCAGAAAAUCCUUUCCAGAAGCCUCCAAUCAGAGAUAAGUCUCAAAUCGAGCGAGUAGGAAGAAUCUUCCGUCAGAGACCGUUAGAAAUGGAAAGAUGAGAGAAUGAGGGACGCGUGGUUAUGGGUUUGAGAUUCACUCGCCUGAACUUGGACU